rnacentral:lncRNA from 1 species
CAUUUCUGCAGGAACCUGCAACGCUGAGCACACUUACGCCCCAGCUCACCUGGCGGACGCCGCCCAGCCAGGAGGGUGAA